GGGCUUGACAUCCCACGAACCUGCCCGAAAGGGUAGGGUGCCCGCAAGGGAGCGUGGAGACAGGUGGUGCAUGGCUGUCGUCAGCUCGUGUCGUGAGAUGUUGGGUUAAGUCCCGCAACGAGCGCAACCCUCACCCCUUGUUGCCACCGGGUUAUGCCGAGCACUCUAGGGGAACUGCCAGCGUCAAGCUGGAGGAAGGCGGGGAUGACGUCAAGUCAUCAUGCCCCUUACGCCCCGGGCUACACACGUGCUACAAUGGCCGGCACAAAGGGAUGCAAGACCGCGAGGUGGAGCUAACCCCAAAAAACCGGUCUAAGUUCAGAUUGCAGUCUGCAACUCGACUGCAUGAAGGAGGAAUCGCUAGUAAUCGCGCAUCAGCACGGCGCGGUGAAUACGUUCCCGGGCCUUGUACACACCGCCCCUCACACCACGAAAGCCGGCUGUACUCGAAGUCGCUGAGA
rnacentral:rRNA from 1 species